rnacentral:misc_RNA from 1 species
AUGAGUUGUCUUGGACCCGUGUCUGCCGGUAGGACCCCCGCCGUUGUGCGGCUGACUGUCGGCGCCUGUGUCCAAUCAUUACUGCGGUUUUUACUCGACCGUUCUAUUGACAAGUGCUUGCAUGAUGUACCCGACCAACGGGAAGUUGUGCGUCAUACAUGAUAACCACGCGGUGGGCGCCCCUAGGGCGUGCUGCUGCGGCCAAAUAGUGUUUGCGGCGUUGCCUCUCGGUGCCAGCAUCCUACGUGCUCGGUGUCGCCAAGGCCACCUCGCUUUCACUGUUGGUCUCGGAUGUCGCUCAUGAUAAAGGCUCGUGGCCCUUUGGCGCUGCGUCCCUACCGAAAGCUCUCUGAAUACACGACUUUCGACUCGGUUUUCGCCGUUGCUGUGCCACAUGGCCGGCACGUGCUACUCUGAUGUCGGAUUGUCGAGGAGGACGUGCU